GUUUGCAACAUCAUACAGGGACUAAUUCAACCAAGUUGGCAAGUCAAAGGUAUUAUGGAUCAAAUCAAAGAAUGCAUUACAAGGUUUACUAGCUGCAAAGUGAAGCACAUCUUCAGAGAGGCCAACUCAGAUAAAAAUGAUUUUUAUAUAAACUGGUAGGGGUCUGCCUUAACCCCAGCUUGCAUUUUGCAACAAAAAAAAAAACAUACAUUACACAAAGUUCAGAUGAUUAGAUGAAGGUUACAUUGUAGUUUUAGUGCAGUCAGACCAAUAGCGCAAGCCCCUAUUCAUUGGGCCUGCUAACAUGGAUUUCAACCUUACUUAACCAACACUUGGCCGGUAUUU
rnacentral:lncRNA from 1 species